rnacentral:rRNA from 1 species
UACGUAGGGUGCGAGCGUUAAUCGGAAUUACUGGGCGUAAAGCGUGCGCAGGCGGUUCGUGAUGUCUGAUGUGAAAGCCCCGGGCUCAACCUGGGAAUUGCAUUGGAAACUAGCGGGCUGGAGUGCGGCAGAGGGGGAUGGAAUUCCGCGUGUAGCAGUGAAAUGCGUAGAUAUGCGGAGGAACACCGAUGGCGAAGGCAAUCCCCUGGGCCUGCACUGACGCUCAUGCACGAAAGCGUGGGGAGCAAACAGG